rnacentral:rRNA from 1 species
CUGCACUUGGUGAUGCGCGACUUUUAUCACUUCGAGGUAAAUAGAAUUGCCGUCGUAGGCGAGAGCUGUAGAUAUCUUGAGAAUACCCGGGGGCGACAGGCGGGUUCUCAUCCAUUAUUACGAUCAAGGUUGCAAAGUGCCGGGGCGCAAACAAGAAGUAGCAACCUGGUAGUCCGCAACCGCAACCGAUGUACACUAGUGGUAGGGGCAUGAGUCUCUGUGCCAAAGCUAACGUGAUAAGUGUACCGCCUGGGGAAGUAUGCUCGCAAGGGUGAAUAUCACAAGGAACUGACGGGGGGCCGCACAAGCGGUCGAGCAUGUCGUUUCAAUCGAUGGUACGCGAGGGACAUUUCCCUGGUUUUCCCUCCAAGUGGAAUGGGAUACAGAUACAUCUCCGUACCAAUCCGUGGCUUGAAAGUGCUGCACCGCCGGUGUUAGCGCCCCCCCUGAAGUUCUUGGGUAAUUCCCCCAACGAGCGCAAC